CAUGUACAUACACGAGUACAUAUAGCGUGGUUACCACCUGAGGGCAGAAUUAAGGUGAUGUUUACUGAGCAAAACACAGGCUCCGCUGCAUGCAGACGCUUCAGCCACCAUGAAGACAGCAGGUGUGUUGCUGCUGUUUGCUCUAGCCCUUUGCUGCAUCCCAGAUGUUGGUGCACUGCAGGGCUACUGCAGGAACUAUGUGGUACCCAGCAAUGUCUGCACUAUGGAAUACCUCCCACACUGUGGGUCUGAUGGUGUAACAUAUGGCAAUAAAUGCUUAUUCUGCAAUGCAUUCCUGAGAAGCCGUCGGACUCUUCGCUUGAGAUCUCUUCGAAAGUGUUAAUUUCUCAACAGGCUUCAGCUCAUAAAGAGGAAUCCUCCCUGGCGCCAUUCCCCAUGGCAGAUGCUCCCCUAAAGCCUUGUCCUGAACCUUGAAAGCUCCUGUUGAAUCCUGAAAACCUCUGCUUAAUAAAAAAGCCAUCAGCA
rnacentral:lncRNA from 1 species